CCUACGGGCGGCAGCAGUAGGGAAUCUUCGGCAAUGGACGAAAGUCUGACCGAGCAACGCCGCGUGAGUGAAGAAGGUUUUCGGAUCGUAAAGCUCUGUUGUAGCGGAAGAACGCGUGUAAGAGUGGAAAGUUUACACAGUGACGGUACGCUACCAGAAAGGGACGGCUAACUACGUGCCAGCAGCCGCGGUAAUACGUAGGUCCCGAGCGUUGUCCGGAUUUAUUGGGCGUAAAGGGAGCGCAGGCGGUUUAGUAAGUCUGAAGUUAAAGGCAUUGGCUCAACCAAUGUAUGCUUUGGAAACUGUUAGACUUGAGUGCAGAAGGGGAGAGUGGAAUUCCAUGUGUAGCGGUGAAAUGCGUAGAUAUAUGGAGGAACACCGGUGGCGAAAGCGGCUCUCUGGUCUGUAACUGACGCUGAGAAGCGAAAGCAUGGGGAGCGAACAGGAUUAGAUACCCCGGUAGUC
rnacentral:rRNA from 1 species